AUCUGACAGCUGCCUUCAGCAAAGUGCUUAAAAUCACUGCUCCUGAAACACAUGCCCAGCUUGAGUGGAAACGGGACACGUGCUUUUGGGAUGUGCUGAGACUUCUGUGGGCCGCUCCAGUGACCAGACUGGACCGCUUCAGAUACAAUGGCAACCAGGAACAUUACUCUCACAAUACUGAAGAAUGCAAAUGCAUUAUCUCAUGACCUCCAAGGAUAUGGACUCCAGACACUGCAGUGUGACAGCUAAACCAAGGAGCAUCGGAUGCGAUGGAAUUGCUCUACAAGCAACCUUGCCAAAGGCCCUUUUGCUGCACAAAGCUGGCUCUAUCUUUGUAUAUUGAGGGAGCUAAAUCAAUGUUAAAUGCUUGGCUCUUUUCACAGGACAAUGACCAGGACCUAAGCUUCGUCCUUCCUUUUUGAUUGACACUUGAAACGUUGAGUUGGAAUCAGCCAGAGGCACUGCUACAAGCUUGAAGCCUCUGCUGGGGAUAACAACUGGUGACAUCUGCAGAAAGGCCGACAAAAGGCAGUUGAAAGCCGUGUUUGUUGCUUUCCCCUCUCAGAUCUCCUCUCUUUCAUGGAGCUCCUUACUUGCUUUAAUAUUAUGAUUCAGCACCUGGCUCUUUUGAACCUUGCUUUAAACUUCAAAAGGCGAGGUGGUAUUAACAAACAUGAAACGAAAAAGUGGCAGUAGUUUGAUUUACUGUUGUCGUCUUAUCAAGGGGGUUUUUUGUCACCAGCUGCCACUUUCUGUCAUCUUUGGAACCAUUAUCAUUUCUCUAAAAUCUAAAAGACUCCACUUAAUAACAGCUUUGAAUACAGGCAGGAUCAGUAACCUAUACAGUUCUGGGAUGACAGAACCAUCAAAUGACAAGAAAGAUGUUGCCAAAAAAAAAAAAAAAAACAACCUUUAAAAAAAAAAAAAAACCUAAAAAAAAAACAA